rnacentral:sRNA from 1 species
CUUUCCUGCUCUUGGAACGCUCGGCUCUGAGAGGCUCCAGGUUUCUCCGCCAGAGCUCCUGUCGCUCUGUCACUUGCGCUGUGUUCCUCUCUAGUCACAAGAGCCUUGGGGAAGACAGUUGGAAGCUCAGACAUGAGAAAUAUUCCACAGGACAAUGAAAACCCACCCCAAAAGGGUGAAGCAAAUCAAAAUGAUUUCGCUUUUGUUGCCCAGGCUGGAGUACAGUGGCUCGAUCUCGGCCCACUGCCACCUCUGCUUCCUGGGUUGAAGCAAUUCUUCUGCCUCAGCCUCCUGAGUAGCUGUGGUUACAGUUGGAGUCUUGCUCUGUUGCCCAGGCUGGAGUGCGGUGGCGCGAUCUCAGCUCACUGCAAGCUCCGCCUCCCGGGUUCACGCCAUUCUCCUGCCUCAGCCUCCCAAGUAGCUGGGACUACAGGCGCCCGCCACCACGGCUGGCUAAUUUUUGUAUUUUUAGUAGAGACAGGGUUUCACCAUGUUAGCCAGGAUGGUCUCGAUCUCUUGACCUCGUGAUCUGCCCGCCUCGGCCUCCCAAAGUGCUGGGAUGACAGGCGUGAGCCACCAUGUCCACCAAGACACCACACACACCAAAUAUAGAGGUGUGAAGGGGGAAAUCAGGGGUCUCACAGCCUUCAGAGCUGAGAGUCCUGAACAGAGAUUUAUCCACAUAUUUAUUAACAGCAAACUAGUCAUUAGCGUUGUUUCUAUAGAUAUUAAAUUAACUAAAAGUAUCCCUUAUGGGAAACAAAGGGAUGGGCUGAAUUAAAGGAAUAGGUUGGGCUAGUUAACUGCAGCAGGAGCAUGUCCUUAAGGCACAGAUAGCUCAUGCUAUUAUUUGUGGCUUAAGGCUUAAGAAUGCCUUUAAGCGGUUUUCUGCCCUGGGCGGGCCAGGUGUUCCUUGCCCUCAUUCCGGUAAACUCACAACCUUCCAGUGUGGGUGUUAGGGCCAUUAUGAACAUGUUACAGUGCUGCAGAGAUUUUGUUUAUGGCCAGUUUUGGAGCCAGUUUAUGGCCAGAUUUUGGGGGGCCUGCUCCCAACAUGUCCCCUUUCUUUGAUUUGCAAAUCAAUAAAAGCAAGGGCAGCUUUGUCACAGUGAGCUACUUCUCGCAGGAGUCAGGAUCCACGUCUGCAGACUAUACAAAGACAACACAGAUUAAAAGCACAAUCAUCGUUGAAAUCACAGAACUUCCAAGUGUUUUUAUCCAUUUUCAGCUCCUUUAAGCACUCCAGUUCUGGCAUUAAGGUCAGCUGUGCCUGGGAUGCUUUAAAUAUUUGUUUUUUUAAUUUUAAAUCCUUAUGUUAAGCUCCUACAAUGAGCCAUAUCAUUUGAGGUUGAGGUGCCACUAUACUGCCAUGGUUCCAGAUAAUAGGAACUUUUGCCAUACUUCUUAUCAUUUCUACCAUCUGACCGUUUUGUUCAGAUCAGCUGAACAUAGUGUGGCUGUGGCAUGCAGACUGAGAGGUGCAGUUUAAGCUAAACAUCCCCUUAGGGGACCAAUUAAUAAUGAUUCCAUAGAAAUUGUUGUGUAGCACCUCUGCCUGUUCUGCAAUGCAGUCUUCCUAAACAAGGUAACGUUCAUUUUUUCUAACUGGGUCUGAUCCUGUUUACAAAUAGGUUUUUGAGGGCAGUAUGCCUCAAUUAUAGGAGCAGAUUUAUUAUGGUAAAUACUGAGAUUAGAAAGCAUGUGUAACUGUGUCACAGAGUGAUUGCAUCCAGGCAUUAUUACCAGUCAAGAUUGAUAAAUAUGCCCAGUAAGUAUAAUCGUUCUCUGUGUCAGCCCUUAUUGAAGGAAUACUCAAGGUAGUGGUGAUAACUGCUGUCAUAGCUACCAUUAAAUUAUUCAUUGUGACUGGUUGUCCCGCUUUCCUCAGGUUUUCUUCCGCCAUCUGUGACAGCUUCUUGAUCUGUCCCCAGGUGGGUGGCUGUGUUCGAUGGGUGUUGCUCGUGACAGUUGGGGUCCUCCUCAGCGUCAGUCUCGACAUGGCUGCAACCGGGGAAUCUUUGGGAUCCUCUCGGAGUCUCUUCCUCAGCAUCUGCCUCAUGAUAAGGUUUCAGGUGUCUUGAUAGUACCCAAAUCGGCUGUUGAUUUUGGUCUGGAGAAACACAAGCAUGAUCUCUACUCCAAGUUAUUAUUUUACCUAUUUCCCAACUUUUUGUUAUUGAAUAUCUCCACCAAAUCAGUUGUUCUGCUUCUUUCUUUGCAGCUGGUUUCUGUAGAUGCUGUUCAGUUGCUGAUAACAUCUGGCCUUUGGGCAGGUUCAAAACAUUUAAUGUUAAUAAUGCUACGUUCAGUUGUAUCUGUGGGGUUCCAUAUUCUCUAUUUCCCCCUUUCUGCUUUUGCAACUGCUGUUUUAGGGAAAGAUUCAUUCUUUCCACUAUGGCUUGUCCUUGAAUUGUAUGGGAUAUCAGUAAUGUGUUUAAUAUUCCACAUAGAGAAAAAUGUAGCUAGAGCUUGGCUAGUAUAGCCUGGGGCAUUAUCUGUUUUAAUAGAAGCUGGAAUGCCCAUCACUGCAAAACACUGCAAAAGAUGACGUUUAACACAGGCAGAAGACUCUCCUGUUGGCAUGUAGCCCAAAGUGAGACAAGGUGUCCACACAUACAUGUGGGCACCAAAUGAGGGAAUAUGUGUGACAUCCAUUUGCCAAAGAGAGUUAGGUUCCAAUCCUUGAGGAUUAACUCCUCCUGUAAAAGAUGAGGAAUGUACCAUUUGGCAAUUUGGCAUUGCUGGAUAAUAGCUUUAGCUUCUUUCCAGGUAAUGCUGUAUCUGUGUUUGAGGCCAGAGGCAUUAACAUGGGUUAAAUUGUGAAAGUGUCUAGCAUUAGAUAUUGCAUUAGCAACUAGGCGAUCAGCCAUUUGAUUCCCUUCAAUCAAAGGUCCUGGAAGAGGUGUAUGAGCCCUAAUGUGAGUGAUGUAAAAAGGGUGCAUUCAUUGCUGGAUAAUAACUUUAGCUCCCUGAUAGAGGUGUAUGAGCGCUAACGUGAGUGAUGUAAAAAGGGUGCAUUCUACUUCUAACUGCUGUUUGCAAUUGGGUAAAUAAAGUAAUCAGUUGUUCAUCUGU